rnacentral:rRNA from 1 species
AGUUUUGAUCCUGGCUCAGAUUGAACGCUGGCGGCAGGCCUAACACAUGCAAGUCGAGCGGUUGAGGGGAGCUUGCUUCCCGAUUCAGCGGCGGACGGUGAGUAAUGCCUAGGAAUCUGCCUGGUAGUGGGGACAACGUUUCGAAAGGAACGCUAAUACCGCAUACGUCCUACGGGAGAAAGCAGGGGACCUUCGGGCCUUGCGCUAUCAGAUGAGCCUAGGUCGGAUUAGCUAGUUGGUGGGGUAAGGGCUCACCAAGGCGACGAUCCGUAACUGGUCUGAGAGGAUGAUCAGUCACACUGGAACUGAGACACGGUCCAGACUCCUACGGGAGGCAGCAGUGGGGAAUAUUGGACAAUGGGCGAAAGCCUGAUCCAGCCAUGCCGCGUGUGUGAAGAAGGUCUUCGGAUUGUAAAGCACUUUAAGUUGGGAGGAAGGGCAAUCAGCAAAUACCUGGUUGUUUUGACGUUACCGACAGAAUAAGCACCGGCUAACUCUGUG